rnacentral:rRNA from 1 species
UACGUAGGGUGCUAGCGUUGUUCGGAAUCAUUGGGCGUAAAGCGCGUGUAGGUGGUUAGGCAAGUCAGAUGUGAAAGCCCUCGGCUCAACCGGGGAAGUGCAUCCGAAACUGCCUAGCUAGAAGACGGUAGAGGAAGGUGGAAUUCCUAGUGUAGAGGUGAAAAUUCGUAGAUAUUAGGAGGAAUACCGGUGGCGAAGGCGGCGAUCUGGGUCGAUACUGACGCUGAGGUGCGAAAGCGUGGGGAGCAAACAGGG